CCCUGGAGGACUAGUGGUUAGGCCAUGGCGCUCUCAACACCACGGCCUAGGUUCGAUUCCCAGCUCAGCCA